rnacentral:rRNA from 1 species
AUUAGUUUUUUAAUUGAAGGCUAGAAUGAAUGGUUGGACAAAAAAUAAUCUGUCUCAAUUAAAGAUAUUGAAUUUAACUUUUAGGUGAAAAGGCUUAAAUGAUCUAAAGGGACGAUAAGACCCUAUAAAACUUUAUAUUUAAGAGUAGAAAUUAGUUUUAUUUAAAGAUACUAUUUUAUAAUAUUUGGUUGGGGCGACAGGGAUAAAAUAGGGAGUAACUGUCUUUUUUUAUUUACAAUGAUAUUUGGGUCCAUGAUCCUAAAAUGGAUUAAAGAUUAAGUUACUUUAGGGAUAACAGCGUUAUUUUCUUUGAGAGUUCUUAUCGACAGGAAAGUUUGCGACCUCGAUGUUGAAUUAAAGGUUCUUUAUAGAGUAGAGACUAUAAAAGAAGGUCUGUUCGACCUUUAAAAUUUUACAUGAUUUGAGUUCAGACCGGUGUGAG